rnacentral:rRNA from 1 species
UACGUAGGUGGCAAGCGUUGUCCGGAUUUAUUGGGUUUAAAGGGUGCGUAGGCGGCUUUGUAAGUCAGUGGUGAAAUAUGGCAGCUCAACUGUCAGGGUGCCAUUGAUACUGCGGAGCUUGAGUACAGAUGAGGUAGGCGGAAUUGACGUGUAGCGGUGAAAUGCUUAGAUAUCGUCAAGACACCGAUGGCGAAAGCAGCUCUCUGGGACGGUACUGACGCUGAGACGCGAAAGCGUG